CCUACGGGAGGCAGCAGUGGGGAAUAUUGCACAAUGGGGGAAACCCUGAUGCAGCGACGCCGCGUGAGUGAAGAAGUAUUUCCGUAUGUAAAGCUCUAUCAGCAGGGAAGAAAAUUACGGUACUUGAUUAACAAGCCCCGGCUACCUCCGUGCCAGCAGCCGCGGGAACACGAAGGGGGCAAGCGUUAGCCGGAUUUACUGGGUGUAAAGGUAGCGUAGCCGGCAGCAGAAGUCUGGAGUGAAAUGCCGGGGCUUAACCCCGGGACGGCAUAGGAAACUGUGAGGCUAGAGUGAAGGAGCGGGAAGUGGAAUUCCUGGUGUAGCAGUGAAAUGCGUAGAUAUUGAGAGGAACACCAGUGGCGAAGGCGGCUUACUGGACUGUAACUGACGUUGAGGCUCGAAGGCGUGGGGAGCAAACAGGAUUAGAUACCCGAGUAGUU
rnacentral:rRNA from 1 species